AACAACUUCGCAAACUUGGCUGACAUUCCCCUCUACCAACCUCAUUUCUUAGCAUAUAUAAAAUUGUAGGCUUUACCUUGGGGGUAUCGAUCACAUGAUAUAAGGACUUUCAAACAAGUAUUUGGAGCUGCAUGUAAACAGUAUUUCCUAUCCUCUCUCUCUACUAAUUUUCUCUCUUAAUCAAAGUCUGCUUAUAUUAGCAAGAUAAUUGACCAAUAUUGGACAGGCUUCCAUGAAUCAAGCCUUAAUGGUGGUUGCCACCAAGUCCUGUUCACUUCUUUUUGAUCUAUAUCCUAGGAUUAUUUGUGAAGCAAGCUUUAAUGGUUGUAGCCACAAAGUCAUGUUCGAAUUCCUUCCUAAUAAAUCUCUAAUAGAUAUAUAUAAGAGAACUUACCUAUAAUGACUCUAAUAAUACAUGUAAUGACUAGACUAGAUCAUAAACUUUGCUAAUUACUAGACUAGAUCAUACAGGUAAUGAAAAUACAAUAAUGCCACUACAUAUUAUUAAGAUCCCUAUUAUUAAUAGAAAAUUGUAAAAUAUUUUCUAAAAAAAAGUCCUUUUGUCGUGUCUUUGUCGAGUCGUCUUCUUCAAAGGGACAAUCCCAAAAUUGCCUUCGUCAUCUCUUUCACCUACAUCUCCGACUACUGCAUCUCUGUCCAGCCGCCUUCCUUUUCGUCACCUCGUACUGGAGGAAUCCUACCUCUGUUUUCGCUUCGUCAAUUCCGCCUUCGUAAAAAUUGAAACCGAUGGCUUCAUCUUCGGGUAUCAGAAGGUAUCCUCUGCGUCUUUUACGAGGUUGGGAAAACUCCAAUUCAGAAUAGAAGCAUGAAUCAUAGCUGUUUUUGUCCAAUCUUGAAAUGGUAGGAGUUGAAGUGCACUUGGUCUGCAAAAUAUGUUCACUAUUUUCUGACCAAUCAAUUGGCAGUCAAGAGAAGACAUGAGAUAUGGUUGUUGCUAAAGUGUCUGCCAUUGUAGGGAGCAAGAUGAAUUUGGCUAUGGUGAGUUUUGCGCGUAGUUUUACCUAAAGAUAAUGGUGCGAAGAGAGGUGUGGCCAACAGAAGAUUACGGCUGUCUGUGUGACUCGCACUUUGCCGCAUCAAUGCUCAUGUUUCACAGACGUUCCAUGCAAUCAACAUCUUCAUAUUCCUCCUCUCUAAUUGCAUUUCUAGAUCGGUGGUUCGUGAAGUCAUGGGUUACUGACUUCGAGAAACAAGACAAGGAGACAAUUGAGUUGGCAGAUAUGUACAGCAAGACUUUUAGUGGAGAAUUCCCGGAACAGUUUGUGACCGGUAAGAAGUGGCUUGUAGAUGUCGACAGCUUGUUACUUUGCCACCAUAUUAAUGGAAACCACUGGAUUGCUCUACACAUUGAUUUACACAAGGCGACAAUCUACACAUUGGAUGUAUUUUUCGUGGCUUAAGUGAUAAGAUUAUACCAGCACAAAGAAUGAAGUUGGCAGCUGAGAUCUAUGAAGAGGUGGCAGAGGUUGAUGCGGAACGAUGAUUUAAAUAUUGUAGGACGUGUAAUUUGGAUGAUUUAUUUUAGUACUUGUGAAACUAUUUACUAGAUGUCUAGAUCGAAUGCUCAUCACUUAAGAGGACAUGUUUUAGAAUUGUGUUCCGUCUGGUUACAAAUUCUACAUGUGUUUUUUUUCCUUGGCCG